rnacentral:rRNA from 2 species
GAUCCUGGCUCAGAAUCAACGCUGGCGGCGUGCCUAACACAUGCAAGUCGCACGAGAAAGGGUAGCAAUACCUGAGUACAGUGGCGCACGGGUGAGUAACACGUGAAUCAUCUACCUUCGAGUGGGGAAUAACUGGGAGAAAUCUCAGCUAAUACCGCAUAAUACCUACGGGUCAAAGCAGCAAUGCGCUUGAAGAGGAGUUCGCGGCAGAUUAGUUAGUUGGCGGGGUAAUGGCCCACCAAGACGAUGAUCUGUAUCCGGCCUGAGAGGGCGCACGGACACACUGGAACUGAAACACGGUCCAGACUCCUACGGGAGGCAGCAG